rnacentral:rRNA from 1 species
GACGAACGCUGGCGGCGUGCUUAACACAUGCAAGUCGAACGGAAAGGCCCUGCUUUUGUGGGGUGCUCGAGUGGCGAACGGGUGAGUAACACGUGAGUAACCUGCCCUUGACUUUGGGAUAACUUCGGGAAACUGGGGCUAAUACCGGAUAGGAGCUCCUGCUGCAUGGUGGGGGUUGGAAAGUUUCGGCGGUUGGGGAUGGACUCGCGGCUUAUCAGCUUGUUGGUGGGGUAGUGGCUUACCAAGGCUUUGACGGGUAGCCGGCCUGAGAGGGUGACCGGCCACAUUGGGACUGAGAUACGGCCCAGACUCCUACGGGAGGCAGCAGUGGGGAAUAUUGCACAAUGGGCGGAAGCCUGAUGCAGCAACGCCGCGUGCGGGAUGACGGCCUUCGGGUUGUAAACCGCUUUCGCCUGUGACGAAGCGUGAGUGACGGUAAUGGGUAAAGAAGCACCGGCUAACUACGUGCCAGCAGCCGCGGUGAUACGUAGGGUGCGAGCGUUGUCCGGAUUUAUUGGGCGUAAAGGGCUCGUAGGUGGUUGAUCGCGUCGGAAGUGUAAUCUUGGGGCUUAACCCUGAGCGUGCUUUCGAUACGGGUUGACUUGAGGAAAGGUAGGGGAGAAUGGAAUUCCUGGUGGAGCGGUGGAAUGCGCAGAUAUCAGGAGGAACACCAGUGGCGAAGGCGGUUCUCUGGGCCUUUCCUGACGCUGAGGAGCGAAAGCGUGGGGAGCGAACAGGCUUAGAUACCCUGGUAGUCCACGCUGUAAACGGUGGGUACUAGGUGUGGGGUCCAUUCCACGGGUUCCGUGCCGUAGCUAACGCUUUAAGUACCCCGCCUGGGGAGUACGGCCGCAAGGCUAAAACUCAAAGGAGUUGACGGGGCCCCGCACAAGCGGCGGAGCAUGCGGAUUAAUUCGAUGCAACGCGUAGAACCUUACCUGGGUUUGACAUGGAUCGGGAGUGCUCAGAGAUGGGUGUGCCUCUUUUGGGGUCGGUUCACAGGUGGUGCAUGGCUGUCGUCAGCUCGUGUCGUGAGAUGUUGGGUUAAGUCCCGCAACGAGCGCAACCCUUGUUCACUGUUGCCAGCACGUUAUGGUGGGGACUCAGUGGAGACCGCCGGGGUCAACUCGGAGGAAGGUGGGGAUGACGUCAAGUCAUCAUGCCCCUUAUGUCCAGGGCUUCACGCAUGCUACAAUGGCUGGUACAGAGAGUGGCGAGCCUGUGAGGGUGAGCGAAUCUCGGAAAGCCGGUCUCAGUUCGGAUUGGGGUCUGCAACUCGACCUCAUGAAGUCGGAGUCGCUAGUAAUCGCAGAUCAGCAACGCUGCGGUGAAUACGUUCCCGGG